GUUAGUAAAUCUUAGUAUCUGAUUUAUUUUUUAUAUUUUUAAUUUUUAUUUUUUGACUUAAAUUAUUUUCUUCAAAAUUUUAUUUUCUUUUUGUAAAAUCAAAGAUUUCAAGUCAAAAUCCUACCUUCUCCAUAGAUUCGACCUAACUCACUACUUUCUAUAUAUUUUUAAUUUUUAUUGAAGUCAAAAUUUGAUUGAUAAU
rnacentral:lncRNA from 1 species